rnacentral:rRNA from 1 species
UACCAGCACCCCGAGUGGUCGGGACGUUUUAUUGGGCCUAAAGGCAUCCGUAGCCGGUUCUACAAGUCUUCCGUUAAAUCCAGCUGCUUAACAGAUGGGCUGCGGAAGAUACUAUGGAGCUAGGAGGCGGGAGAGGCAAGCGGUACUCGAUGGGUAGGGGUAAAAUCCGUUGAUCCAUUGAAGACCACCAGUGGCGAAGGCGGCUUGCCAGAACGCGCUUGACGGUGAGGGAUGAAAGCUGGGGGAGCAAACCGG